rnacentral:rRNA from 1 species
UACGGAGGGAGCAAGCGUUACUCGGAAUUAUUGGGCGUAAAGGGCGCGUAGGCGAUUUGAAAAGUCUUGUGUGAAAGCCCCGAGCUUAACUCGGGAAGUGCACAAGAAACUGUUGAAUUUGAGUUCCGGAGAGGAAGGCAGAAUUCCCGGUGUAGCGGUGAAAUGCGUAGAGAUCGGAAGGAACACCAGUGGCGAAGGCGGCUACCUGGCCUGAUACUGACACUGAGGCACGAAAGCGUGGGGAGCAAACAGG